AUGGCCACCACCUCAAGCGCGGAGCUUCUGCAAGCUGAGGCAGAGCUCGUGCGCCACUCCUUAGGCUACCUCAAGUCCAUGGCGUUGCACAGCGCGGUAAAGCUCGGAAUCCCCGACGCUCUCCACCGCUGCGGCGGCGCGGCCUCCUUGCCCGACCUGUCCUCCACCCUCGCCCUCCCUUGCAGCAAACGACCGUACCUGUCCCGGCUCAUGAAGAUGCUAGCCGUGGAAGGAAUCUUCACGGCCGUGGCUGUGGAUGUGGACGUUCCUACCGCCAGCGGCGGCGAGGGCAGCGUCCGGUACGGCCUCAACCCGGUGUCUCGCCUUCUUGUCAGCGGCAGCGGCGCGUGCCUGUCGCCGUGCGUGCUCAUGGGCACCUCGCCGCUGUUCCUGGAGGCCUCCCUCCGGCUGCACCAGUGGUUCCAGAGGGACGGCCAGGGUGAUCAGCCGGCGUUCGCCAUGGCGCACGGCGAGAGCCCCUACGGCGCGGCCGGCCAUGACACGGAGUUCAACGCGCUGGUGAACGAGGCGAUGGGGUCCGACAGCCGACACAUGGCGGAGCUCGUCGUCCGCGAGUGCGGCGAGGUGUUCACGGGCGUGACGUCGCUGGUCGGCGUCGGCGGCGGGAACGGCACCAUGGCGACGGCCAUCGCCAAGGCCUUCCCGCAUGUCAAGUGUUCGGUGCUGGACCUCCCGCAUGUUGUACAAGGCGUCGUCUCGACACAUGAGUCGGUUGAGUUUGCUGCCGGCGACAUGAUGGAAUACGUUCCACCAGCUGAUGCAGUUCUGCUUAAGUGUGUGCUACACAACUGGAGCGACGAGGAUUGCGUGAAGAUCCUGACAAAAUGCAGAGAGGCCAUUGCCCAAGGAGCGAAAGCAGGGAAGGUGAUAAUCAUCGAUGCUGUUGUUGGAUCUCCUUCACACUCACAGCAAGUACUUCAAGCUCAAGUCUUGAUGGAUAUGCAAAUGAUGAUGCUAUUCAUGAGCAAAGAACGUGAGGAACUCAGCUGGCAAAAGAUAUUCAUGGAAGCAGGGUUUAGUCAUUACAAAAUACAGCCCGUCCUAGGGAUGCGAUCCAUCAUCCAACUCUACCCAUAG
rnacentral:rRNA from 1 species